UGCCUCGUAGCCAAGUGGCAAGGCAUCAGACUUUGACUCUGACAUUCCGAUGGUUCGAAUCCAUCCGAGGCAGCCA
rnacentral:tRNA from 1 species